rnacentral:rRNA from 1 species
UACGUAGGGUGCAAGCGUUAUCCGGAAUUAUUGGGCGUAAAGAGCUCGUAAGCGGUUUGUCGCGUCUGCUGUGAAAACUGGGGGCUCAACCCCCAGCCUGCAGUGGGUACGGGCAGACUAGAGUGCGGUAGGGGAGAUUGGAAUUCCUGGUGUAGCGGUGGAAUGCGCAGAUAUCAGGAGGAACACCGAUGGCGAAGGCAGGUCUCUGGGCUGUAACUGACGCUGAGGAGCGAAAGCAUGGGGGAGCGAACAGG